rnacentral:rRNA from 1 species
UUAACGGGGGAUUAGGGUUCGAUUCCGGAGAGGGAGCCUGAGAAACGGCUACCACAUCUAAGGAAGGCAGCAGGCGCGCAAAUUACCCAAUUCUAACAGCAUAAGAGAGGUAGUGACAAGAAAUAACAAUACAAGGCAUUUAAAAUGCUUUGUAAUUGGAAUGAUAGAAAUUUAAACACUUUUUAAAGUAUCAAUUGGAGGGCAAGUCUGGUGCCAGCAGCCGCGGUAAUUCCAGCUCCAAUAGCGUAUAUUAAAAUUGUUGCAGUUAAAAAGCUCGUAGUUGAAUUUCUGCUAAAAAUAACCGGUCUGCUUUUAAUAAAGGUGGUAUCUUGGUGUGUUUUUAGCAAUAAUGUCCUUUGAAAUGGUUUUUACUUUGUUGUAAAAAUCAAUAUUCAGGAUUUUUACUUUGAGAAAAUUAGAGUGUUUCAAGCAGGCUUACGUUUUGAAUACUGCAGCAUGGAAUAAUAAAAUAGGAUUUUAGUUCUACUUUGUUGGUUUUAAGAACUAAAUUAAUGAUUGAUAGGGACAGUUGGGGGCAUUUGUAUUUAACUGUCAGAGGUGAAAUUCUUAGAUU